AGCUCAGGUGAAACUCAAAAAGAGCCUACGCACACAUGCACACACACACUUGAGACGGGAGGUGUGUCUGCUUUUCAAAUCACCAUUCAUUUGGGCGCGACAGCGUCAGGUUCCAUAACCACUUUGUGUCAAUUUGUACCUCAGGACACUGUGAAACACAAGCCUCCAGACCAGGCAUGGCCAACAGGCUAACAACUCUCACACACGCAGACACUUGGACACACAAGGAAAUGGGGCAAUGACACAAAGAGGUAUGGAGGCCGCAUGGUCAGAACACAACACAAGCCCAUGAGUAGCCCAAAUCAGCUGUGGCAAAGAGGCGUGGAAGCCUUAUGGGCACGAAGCAGCUACAGGAUGAACCCGAGCAAUGAGCUGUAUCAGCCACACAUGCCACAAGGCCUCGCUCUGCACUCCUGCAUCCUUCCUGAAGCUUCCCCUGGAGAGAAUAUCUGAGAUGUGGAGUGGAGUGAGGAGGAAAGCAGGAAGUGCCUCUGCUCACACCCUCCGCAAAUAACAAUCUGCACACGCCAUGUCCGGAACAGCCUGCAACAGCAGAGAAAACAAACGCAGACCCAGCAACCCACCUAGAACCAGGGAAAAGCCGGGGAUACAACGCGCUCAACUCUACAACUCUAAUAUACACACACACAAACACAGGGGACGUUGUGAAGUCAUAGUGCGUGUGCGUUACAUUUUUCCCUAAACCUAA